UGGCGGCGUGCCUAAUACAUGCAAGUCGAACGAGUUCUGAUUAUUGAAAGGUGCUUGCAUCUUGAUUUAAUUUUGAACGAGUGGCGGACGGGUGAGUAACACGUGGGUAACCUGCCCUUAAGUGGGGGAUAACAUUUGGAAACAGAUGCUAAUACCGCAUAAAUCCAAGAACCGCAUGGUUCUUGGCUGAAAGAUGGCGUAAGCUAUCGCUUUUGGAUGGACCCGCGGCGUAUUAGCUAGUUGGUGAGGUAACGGCUCACCAAGGCAAUGAUACGUAGCCGAACUGAGAGGUUGAUCGGCCACAUUGGGACUGAGACACGGCCCAAACUCCUACGGGAGGCAGCAGUAGGGAAUCUUCCACAAUGGACGCAAGUCUGAUGGAGCAACGCCGCGUGAGUGAAGAAGGCUUUCGGGUCGUAAAACUCUGUUGUUGGAGAAGAAUGGUCGGCAGAGUAACUGUUGUCGGCGUGACGGUAUCCAACCAGAAAGCCACGGCUAACUACGUGCCAGCAGCCGCGGUAAUACGUAGGUGGCAAGCGUUAUCCGGAUUUAUUGGGCGUAAAGCGAGCGCAGGCGGUUUUUUAAGUCUGAUGUGAAAGCCCUCGGCUUAACCGAGGAAGUGCAUCGGAAACUGGGAAACUUGAGUGCAGAAGAGGACAGUGGAACUCCAUGUGUAGCGGUGAAAUGCGUAGAUAUAUGGAAGAACACCAGUGGCGAAGGCGGCUGUCUGGUCUGUAACUGACGCUGAGGCUCGAAAGCAUGGGUAGCGAACAGGAUUAGAUACCCUGGUAGUCCAUGCCGUAAACGAUGAAUGCUAGGUGUUGGAGGGUUUCCGCCCUUCAGUGCCGCAGCUAACGCAUUAAGCAUUCCGCCUGGGGAGUACGACCGCAAGGUUGAAACUCAAAGGAAUUGACGGGGGCCCGCACAAGCGGUGGAGCAUGUGGUUUAAUUCGAAGCAACGCGAAGAACCUUACCAGGUCUUGACAUCUUUUGAUCACCUGAGAGAUCAGGUUUCCCCUUCGGGGGCAAAAUGACAGGUGGUGCAUGGUUGUCGUCAGCUCGUGUCGUGAGAUGUUGGGUUAAGUCCCGCAACGAGCGCAACCCUUAUGACUAGUUGCCAGCAUUUAGUUGGGCACUCUAGUAAGACUGCCGGUGACAAACCGGAGGAAGGUGGGGAUGACGUCAAAUCAUCAUGCCCCUUAUGACCUGGGCUACACACGUGCUACAAUGGAUGGUACAACGAGUUGCGAGACCGCGAGGUCAAGCUAAUCUCUUAAAGCCAUUCUCAGUUCGGACUGUAGGCUGCAACUCGCCUACACGAAGUCGGAAUCGCUAGUAAUCGCGGAUCAGCACGCCGCGGUGAAUACGUUCCCGGGCCUUGUACACACCGCCCGUCACACCAUGAGAGUUUGUAACACCCGAAGCCGGUGGCGUACCCCUUUUAGGGAGCGAGCCGUCUAAGGUGGGACAAAUGAUUAGGGUGAAGUCGUACA
rnacentral:rRNA from 1 species